AGUGGGAUAGCUGGAUCAAAUGGUGGUUCAUUCCAACUUUUCUAAAGAAUCUUCAUACUGCUUUCCAGAUUGGUUGCACUAAUUUGCAGUCCCACCAGCAAU
rnacentral:pre_miRNA from 1 species